rnacentral:rRNA from 1 species
UACGUAGGGUGCAAGCGUUGUUCGGAAUUACUGGGCGUAAAGCGCACGUAGGCGGCUUUGCAAGUUAGAGGUGAAAGCCCGGGGCUCAACUCCGGAAUUGCCUUUAAAACUGCAUCGCUAGAAUUGUGGAGAGGGAAGCGGAAUUUCCGGUGUAGCGGUGAAAUGCGUAGAUAUCGGAAGGAACACCAGUGGCGAAAGCGGCUUCCUGGUCCAGCACCGACGUUCAGGCACGAAAGCGUGGGGAGCAAACAGG